rnacentral:rRNA from 1 species
GAUCCUGCGUCAGAAUGGGACCUUGCUCCGUGACGUUAGAGGUUGACGGGUGAGUAACACGUGGGUAACCUGCCUGUAACACUGGGAUAACUCCGGGAAACCGGGGCUAAUACCGGAUGGUUGUUUGAACCGCAUGGUUCAAACAUGAAAGGUGGCUUCGGCUACCACUUACAGAUGGACCCGCGGCGCAUUAGCUAGUUGGUGAGGUAACGGCUCACCAAGGCAACGAUGCGUAGCCGACCUGAAAGGGUGAUCGGCCACACUGGGACUGAGACACGGCCCAGACUCCUACGGGAGGCAGCAGUAGGGAAUCUUCCGCAAUGGACGAAAGUCUGACGGAGCAACGCCGCGUGAGUGAUGAAGGUUUUCGGAUCGUAAAGCUCUGUUGUUAGGGAAGAACAAGUACCGUUCGAAUAGGGCGGUACCUUGACGGUACCUAACCAGAAAGCCACGGCUAACUACGUGCCAGCAGCCGCGGUAAUACGUAGGUGGCAAGCGUUGUCCGGAAUUAUUGGGCGUAAAGGGCUCGCAGGCGGUUUCUUAAGUCUGAUGUGAAAGCCCCCGGCUCAACCGGGGAGGGUCAUUGGAAACUGGUGAACUUGAGUGCACAAGAGGACAGUGGAAUUCCACGUGUAGCGGUGAAAUGCGUAGAGAUGUGUAGGAACAUCAGUGGACGAACGCGACUCUCUGGUCUGUCAACUGACUCUGAGGGAGCGAAAGACGUGCGGAGCGGAUGAGGGAUUCAGAUACCGCAUG